rnacentral:rRNA from 1 species
GGCACGGGUGAGUAACACGUAUCCAACCUGCCGUCUACUCUUGGACAGCCUUCUGAAAGGAAGAUUAAUACAAGAUGGCAUCAUGAGUCCGCAUGUUCACAUGAUUAAAGGUAUUCCGGUAGACGAUGGGGAUGCGUUCCAUUAGAUAGUAGGCGGGGUAACGGCCCACCUAGUCUUCGAUGGAUAGGGGUUCUGAGAGGAAGGUCCCCCACAUUGGAACUGAGACACGGUCCAAACUCCUACGGGAGGCAGCAUG